CCACCGCUUAUGUUUGGGCC
rnacentral:siRNA from 1 species